rnacentral:rRNA from 1 species
CAGCCGCCGCGGUAAUACGUAGGGUGCAAGCGUUAAUCGGAAUUACUGGGCGUAAAGCGUGCGCAGGCGGUUAUAUAAGACAGAUGUGAAAUCCCCGGGCUCAACCUGGGAACUGCAUUUGUGACUGUAUAGCUAGAGUACGGCAGAGGGGGAUGGAAUUCCGCGUGUAGCAGUGAAAUGCGUAGAUAUGCGGAGGAACACCGAUGGCGAAGGCAAUCCCCUGGGCCUGUACUGACGCUCAUGCACGAAAGCGUGGGGAGCAAACAGGAUUAGAUACCCGGGUAGUCCCUGUCUCUUAUAU